GACGAACGCUGGCGGCGUGCUUAACACAUGCAAGUCGAACGGAAAGGCCCUGCUUUUGUGGGGUGCUCGAGUGGCGAACGGGUGAGUAACACGUGAGUAACCUGCCCUUGACUUUGGGAUAACUUCAGGAAACUGGGGCUAAUACCGGAUAGGAGCUCCUGCUGCAUGGUGGGGGUUGGAAAGUUUCGGCGGUUGGGGAUGGACUCGCGGCUUAUCAGCUUGUUGGGGGGGUAGUGGCUUACCAAGGCUUUGACGGGUAGCCGGCCUGAGAGGGUGACCGGGCACAUUGGGACUGAGAUACGGCCCAGACUCCUACGGGAGGCAGCAGUGGGGAAUAUUGCACAAUGGGCGGAAGCCUGAUGCAGCAACGCCGCGUGCGGGAUGACGGCCUUCGGGUUGUAAACCGCUUUCGCCUGUGACGAAGCGUGAGUGACGGUAAUGGGUAAAGAAGCACCGGCUAACUACGUG
rnacentral:rRNA from 1 species